ACAGGAUCUGAAACUCCUGGCAUGAAGUAUGUGUGGGAUGGUGCAGAAUCAAGGCUAUGCAGGAGGGUGUGGGUUGAAGCCACUUCAAAGUAAAAAAGGGCUGGUCUAAGUGGCACAUAUUUGAAUCAGCUGUGGGAAAACAAGCACACAGCAGCUAUUUUUAGUUUGUGUCAGAAACUGCAAGAGUGAGAGUUGCUCAUAGAGUAGAAUACUGGCUUUGGAUAUAGGAGAUGAAGACUUUUUCAGCACCGCCACUAACUUCCGUGCUGACAGCCAGUGAGGAAGAGCCGAGGGAAGACGGAGUAUGAAAAGAGAGGAAGACAGCUGCUGGACAUGGAAACUUUUAAAUGCAUAAUGCAGCAGAGUAUGAGGUCACAAAAUAAAAAUACUGAACAAAUAGAACAACUUUUCAUGAAAAUAGACUAUGAAUCAAUGGGCAGAAUUCAAUGGGUAAGUUGGGUUAUGUUUUUUAAAUCAAAUUUGAAAUUAGUGAGGAAAACACAUAAAAUGUUACUUCUGAGCCUGUUCCUUUGUGGAGUACGCUGUGGCCCUCAGUGCUUUUGUGAACUUGAAACUGAACCAAGGGGAUAUGCAUGUUCACAAUUUUCAAAUUUUGUAAUGGCAGAUUAUACUUGGAAUGGUUUCACGAGGGAUUUCAAUAGCUAAGGCAAGUUCCAAGAAGGGUUUCCUAAAACCAGGUAAUAAAGGAUGCAUUUGUCACCUUAUCCCA
rnacentral:lncRNA from 12 species